GUUUCACUUACAAUGAAAAUUUGUAUUAAAUUACCAUUUUUUUUAUAAAAAUUAUAUUUUUUUUUAUCUAGUAUAAUUAUUUGAAAAAAAAGCUAUAAUAAUGUUAUUUUUACUGCAAAGGAAGUCAAUUUAAAAAUUUAAAAGUAAAUUUAAUGUACCUUUUGCAUAAGGGAUUUUCUAUAAAAAUUAAGCAUUUAUUUUUCUCGAAAUAAAUUGAUCUAAAAUUAAUAUAUAAUUUAUAUUUCAUUAUAAAUUUUAAAUUUAUUAUAGAUGUGAAAUGCUUGUCAAAAUUUAAGAUAACUAGUUUAUUAAAAAAAUUUUAUAUUGGCCUAUAAAUAUUUUUUAAUUAACAUUUUUAUAGGUUAAAAUCUUAGGGAUAAGCUAAAGAUUAAAAAUUUUAAAAGUUAAAGUCUUUAAAAAAAUAUAAGAAAUAUAAUUGUUCUUUAUAUUGUUAUAAAUAAAUUUAAGAAAUUAUUUAAAAUUAAUUUAUUUUUAAUAAAGUAAAAAAUAAUGUUUACUUUAAAAAAUGAAAGUAUUAGUAAAAUUAUUUUAUAACUUAAAAAAAUUAAGUUUAAUAAAUUUAUAAAUUAAAAUAAGUUUUAAUAAUUCGGCAAAAUUUUUCUUUGACUGUUUAAUAAAAACAACUUAUUCAGAAAAAUACAUUUUAUUGAAUAUAAAUCCUGCUCAAUGAUAUUUUUAAAUUGCUGUAGUAUUUUGACUAUACAAAGGUAUUGUAAUAAGAUUUUAAUUGAAUGCUAAGAGAAUGGAACUACAAGGAACAGCUAUUUUAAACUUAAAAAUUAAAGCUAUUUUAAUUUGUGAAGAAACAAUUAUUAAAAUUAAGGACAAGAAGACCCUAAGAAUUUUAAAGUCAAUAAUUUUUUUUUUAUAAAACUUUUUGAUUUUUAGUUGGGGCAACUAAAAAAUAUUGUAAACUUUUUUAUAAAUAAAAUGAUCCAUUAUUAAUGAUAAUUUGGGGAAAAUACUCUAGGGAUAACAGCGUAAUAAUUUUUGAUAGAACAUAUAGACAAAAUAGUUUGCGACCUCGAUGUUGGAUUAGGAUUCUUUUUUAAUGAAGAUGUUAAAAAAAGAAGUUUGUUCAACUUUUAAAGUCCUACAUGAUCUGAGUUUAGACCGAUGAGAAUCAGGUUGGUUUCUAUCCUAAUUAAAAUAAAUUUUUUGGUUAGUACGAAAGGAAUUCCAAAAUUUAAUUUAUUUAAUAUAAUAA
rnacentral:rRNA from 1 species